rnacentral:rRNA from 1 species
UACGGAGGAUGCGAGCGUUAUCCGAAUUUAUUGGGUUUAAAGGGUGCGUAGGCGGAUUUUUAAGUCAGCGGUAAAAUGUCCGGGCUCAACCCGGGCCGGCCGUUGAAACUGGGGAUCUUGAGUGGGCGAGAAGUAUGCGGAAUGCGUGGUGUAGCGGUGAAAUGCAUAGAUAUCACGCAGAACUCCGAUUGCGAAGGCAGCAUACCGGCGCCCGACUGACGCUGAGGCACGAAAGCGUGGGGAUCGAACAGG